rnacentral:rRNA from 1 species
AUUGAACGCUGGCGGCAGGCCUAACACAUGCAAGUCGAACGCGUGGCGGACGGGUGAGUAAUGUCUGGGAAACUGCCUGAUGGAGGGGGAUAACUACUGGAAACGGUAGCUAAUACCGCAUACCAUCGGAUGUGCCCAAAUGGGAUUAGCUAGUAGGUGGGGUAACGUCGAACCUAGGCGACGAUCCCUAGCUGGUCUGAGAGGAUGACCAGCCACACGGUAACUUGGACACGGUCCAGACUCCUACGGGAGGAAGCAGUGGGGAAUAUUGCACAAUGGGCGCAAGCCUGAUGCAUCCAUGCCGCGUGUAUGAAGAAGGCCUUCGGGUUGUAAAGUACUUUCAGCGGGGAGGCGUUACCCGCAGAAGAAGCACCGGCUAACUCCGUGCCAGCAGCCGCGGUAAUAC